GGUCAUUGAUGUUUGUCUCAAACAAGUGAAAGAUUUUAGCAGCAGACUUUCCGCUGAAGAAAUAUUGUUUGCCAUGUUCAAAAAGAAGUUUUGGAAGAAGAUAUGGAAGAAGUUACCAACAAAGCUUGUUUGGUCUACUGUCAUGUAAACUGCAGUGUUUCUUCUCUAAAAAGUGGGAGGGAGAGGAAAUUUUAUUUUGCAUCAAGUAUGGGUCUCCUUGUGCAUCAACAUAAAAUGAAACAUUUAUCAUUAUUGGACAGUCAUAGUGGGAUAAGGACUGGAGCACAGAAGCUUCCAA